rnacentral:rRNA from 1 species
AUUGAACGCUGGCGGCAUGCCUAACACAUGCAAGUCGAACGGCAGCAUGGUCUAGUUUACUAGAUUGAUGGCGAGUGGCGGACGGGUGAGUAACGCGUAGGAAUAUGCCUUAAAGAGGGGGAUAACUUGGGGAAACUCAAGCUAAUACUGCGUAAUCUCUGAGGAGAAAAGCUGGGGACCUUCGGGCCUGGCGCUUUAAGAAUAGCCUGCGUACGAUUAGCUAGUUGGUGAGGUAAGGGCUCACCAAGGCGACGAUCGUUAGCUGGUCUGAGAGGAUGGCCAGCCACACUGGGACUGAGACACGGCCCAGACUCCUACGGGAGGCAGCAGUGGGGAAUAUUGGACAAUGGGGGCAACCCUGAUCCAGCAAUGCCGCGUGUGUGAAGAAGGCCUGAGGGUUGUAAAGCACUUUCAGUGGGGAGGAGGAUUGAUUGGUUAAGAGCUGAUUAAUUGGACGUUACCCACAGAAGAAGCACCGGCUAACUCCGUGCCAGCAGCCGCCGUAA